AGUGAACGCUGGCGGUAGGCCUAACACAUGCAAGUCGAACGGCAGCACAGUAAGAGCUUGCUCUUACGGGUGGCGAGUGGCGGACGGGUGAGGAAUACAUCGGAAUCUACUUUUUCGUGGGGGUUAACGUAGGGAAACUUACGCUAAUACCGCAUACGACCUACGGGUGAAAGCAGGGGAUCUUCGGACCUUGCGCGAUUGAAUGAGCCGAUGUCGGAUUAGCUAGUUGGCGGGGUAAAGGCCCACCAAGGCGACGAUCCGUAGCUGGUCUGAGAGGAUGAUCAGCCACACUGGAACUGAGACACGGUCCAGACUCCUACGGGAGGCAGCAGUGGGGAAUAUUGGACAAUGGGCGCAAGCCUGAUCCAGCCAUACCGCGUGGGUGAAGAAGGCCUUCGGGUUGUAAAGCCCUUUUGUUGGGAAAGAAAAGCAGCAGGUUAAUACCCCGCUGUCCUGACGGUACCCAAAGAAUAAGCACCGGCUAACUUCGUG
rnacentral:rRNA from 1 species